rnacentral:rRNA from 1 species
UACGAAGGGGGCUAGCGUUGUUCGGAAUUACUGGGCGUAAAGCGCAUGUAGGCGGGUCGUUAAGUCGGGGGUGAAAGCCCAGAGCUCAACUCUGGAACUGCCUUCGAUACUGGCGACCUGGAGCCAAGGAGACGCGAGUGGAAUUGCGAGUGUAGAGGUUAAAUUCGUAGAUAUUCGCAGGAACACUAGUGGCGAAGGCGACUCACUGGACUUGUGGUGACGCUGGGAUGCGAAAGCGUGGGGAGGAAACAGG